rnacentral:SRP_RNA from 1 species
CGCCGGUCCCCUCGCGACGUGAAGUUGUGAACCCCGUCAGGCCCGGAAGGGAGCAGCGGUAACAAUGGAUACGGGCGCCGGGGUGUGGCUGGCGGGG